rnacentral:lncRNA from 1 species
CUUUGAAUGGGCCAUUUAUAUCCCCGCUAACAAGCGUGCUCCAUAGUGGAUCCAUUCGGAUCCGCAGCAUCUGCGUCUGCACCCUUUCGUAUUGCGCCCUGCAAUUCCGGGGCCGAGCACCUCUUUGAUUCGCGUGCCCCACCGACAAGACCGCCCCAUUCGGAUAAACCAUCACGUUGCUGCAAAACCACGCGGCCAUGAUAACCAUAUAUUUUUCCAAGAUAAGGUCCCGGUAGUCAUGCCUCCUCUGUCCUCUCAAGUUUCAGAUAACAUCCCG